rnacentral:rRNA from 1 species
AACGAACGCUGGCGGCAGGCUUAACACAUGCAAGUCGAACGCUCGUAGCAAUACGGGAGUGGCGGACGGGUGAGUAACGCGUGGGAACGUGCCCUGAAGUACGGAAUAACUGCGGGAAACUGCAGCUAAUACCGUAUGAGCCCCGUGAGGGGGAAAGAUUUAUCGCCUUAGGAGCGGCCCGCGUCGGAUUAGCUAGUUGGUGGGGUAACGGCUUACCAAGGCUUCGAUCCGUAGCUGGUCUGAGAGGACGAUCAGCCACACUGGGACUGAGACACGGCCCAGACUCCUACGGGAGGCAGCAGUGGGGAAUCUUGCGCAAUGGGGGCAACCCUGACGCAGCCAUGCCGCGUGAAUGAUGAAGGCCUUAGGGUUGUAAAGUUCUUUUGCCCGUGACGAUGAUGACGGUAACGGGAGAAUAAGCUCCGGCUAACUUCGUGCCAGCAGCCGCGGUAAU